GGGUCCGACCGGAAUUGACAGGAUGGAGACCGUUGUGUAAGCAUGCAGCGCGUUGUGAGUAUGGCGCUUAAAUAUCAACUUUCAACUUUUUAAAUGGCGAAAAUAACUACGCCUUAGCUGCCUAAUUUAGAAUUAGUUUAGCUUUUGUCCCGUUUAGGUGCUGUUCUGUAGCUUAAACAACCGGGGCAUCGAAUUUCAGAACUGGUUGGUUUAUUGCUGCGAUAAGCCAAUAAGAAACAGCAGCUACGGAAGAAGGCUAAGGCAAGCAACCGGCCUGUCCCUUCCCGACAAUUAAACGUUUGCUAAGCAUGUAGAAAGCGCAAACAGUACCAUGACUGGACGAGAGUUCGAAUCUCUCCGGAUCCACAG
rnacentral:tmRNA from 1 species